GAUGAACGCUGGCGGCGUGCCUAAUACAUGCAAGUCGAGCGAACAGACGAGGAGCUUGCUCCUCUGACGUUAGCGGCGGACGGGUGAGUAACACGUGGAUAACCUACCUAUAAGACUGGGAUAACUUCGGGAAACCGGAGCUAAUACCGGAUAAUAUAUUGAACCGCAUUGUUCAAUAGUGAAAGACGGUUUUGCUGUCACUUAUAGAUGGAUCCGCGCCGCAUUAGCUAGUUGGUAAGGUAACGGCUUACCAAGGCAACGAUGCGUAGCCGACCUGAGAGGGUGAUCGGCCACACUGGAUCUGAGACACGGUCCAGACUCCUACGGGAGGCAGCAGUAGGGAAUCUUCCGCAAUGGGCGAAAGCUUGACGGAGCAACGCCGCGUGAGUGAUGAAGGUCUUCGGAUCGUAAAACUCUGUUAUUAGGGAAGAACAAAUGUGUAAGUAACUAUGCACGUCUUGACGGUACCUAAUCAGAAAGCCACGGCUAACUACGUG
rnacentral:rRNA from 1 species